rnacentral:rRNA from 1 species
ACCCAAUAGAUACCCAGGUAGUCCACGCCCUAAACAAUGUGCACUAGAUCGAAGGAGGUAUUGACGCCUUUUUCGGUCGAAAGUAAAAAAACGUUGAGUGCACCGCCUGGGGAGUACGGUCGCAAGGCUAAAACUCAAAGGAAUUGACGGGGGCUCACACAAGCGGUGGAGCAUGUGGCUCAAUUCGAAGCAACGCGAAGAACCUUAUCCUGGGCUUGACAUGCAUGGAUUAGUUCCUGGAAACAGGAAUGACACUCUCGUAGUGGAACAUGCACAGGUGCUGCAUGGCUGUCGUCAGCUCGUGCUGUGAAGUGUCGGGUUAAGUCCCUUAACGAGCGAAACCCCUAUUACUAGUUGCCAACGCGUUAUGGCGGGGACUCUAGUGAGACUGCCGGUGUUAAACCGGAGGAAGGUGGGGAUGACGUCAAGUCCUCAUGGCCUUUAUGCCCAGGGCUGCACACGUGCUACAAUGGUGCGGACAAAACGAUGCAAGACCGCAAGGUGGAGCAAAU